CGAGAUCUGGACGGCAUGAAAAGGAACAGCCAUCCUGGAAAGCUGCUAUGCUGGGAUGGGAUUGAAAUUAUCAACCACAGAAAAGUACGUGCCCUCGACUCAUGUCUGUUCAUGGAGCUCUUUGAGGUGAUGGACAUAGAACAUGCAUGUUUUGGUCACAGAAGUGAGAUGGCUUUCUAAAGAGACCUCUGAACUGGGCCGGAAUGGAUCUACAACUCCCUUGUGAAUAAGCCAAGCGAAUCAAAUUUGUCCAUGCCAGAAGAGGAUCAACUGCUUGAAAUUACCAAUGUGGGUGGCCUUAAAACCACGUUUGAGACGCCUUCAAAUCUCCAUAUGUUCUGAAUUAAAGUCAAGGCAGAAUUGAGAUUGCCUCGAAAGCACUGAAAAAUCUUGCUUCAGCUUUAGUGACUGAGCCACUGCCAAGAACUCAGCAGCUUCCCCGUUGGGGCCCUUCACUUCCUGACACUCUGUCCCCCGUCCUUCUUCUC